GGGUAGUGAACUUCCACCUCUCACUUCCUGUAAGGCCUAGUCUGAAAAGGAAAGCAUGGCAUGGUGGAGACUCUCUGUAUUCUCCUGGAUGGAUUCUCCUGGAUUAAAGAUGGGCCGCCAGCCGCUGUCAAAGCACCUGACCAAGACUGACAACUGGUGAAUGGAAAACCGGAAUAAGCACUUGGAAGAAGAAAACCGACAACUGAGACAACUUGCCUUUGAUUUGCCUGGUGC